UACAGGGUUAUUCACUAUAUUUUGACCCCCUUGUAAACUGCUUUAUUUACAGAAUUAGAAAAAAAUGUAAAAUACAAAAGUUAUUCAAUUUUUAAAUUAUGAUUUUUUGACAUAUAUAUCGUACUAGUGACAUCAUCCAUUUGGGCGUGAUGACGUAAUCGACUAUUUUUUUAAAUGGGAAUAGGGUCAAGUGCUAGCUCAUUUGAAAGGUUAUUCAAUUCCCUAUUCAGUAAUAUAAACAUUAACAUGAUUAAUUAUACAGGGUGUCCAACAUUUUUUUUUAUUAAAUUAAUUGUUUGAUUAAUAAUUAAAAAAAAAAUUUGGACACCCUGUAUAAAUAAUGAUCUUAAUGUUUAUAGUACUGUAUAGAGAAUUGAAGAAGCUAGCACACGACACCUAUGCUCAUUUAAAAAAAAUAGUCGAUUACGUCAUCACGCCCAGAUGGAUGACGUCACUAGUACGAUAUAUAUGCCAAAAAAGCAUAAUUAAAAAAUAACUUUUGUAUUUUACAUUUUUUUCCAAUUCUGUAAAUAAAGCAGUUUACAUGGGGGUCAAAAUAUAGUGAAUAACCCUCUACAUUCAUUGGGGCCGACCGACCGGCUCUGUCCCGUCAUACAGCUGACCGACUAUAAUAACUUUUAUUUAUAUUCAGUUUAGAAUGUGUGUACUGCCUUAGUAAAUGCAUUUAAUUACCUUCGUAGGAAAGCAACUUUGAUACCCUCUCAAUAACCCCUGUUCUACGUUUCGCUUGACCGACCGCAGUAUGUUUCUCUACACACUCACAGUAAUCAACUGUGAAAAAUUUAGCUUUAGUAAAUUCAAAGAGAAUUUUUAGCGCUGCCUCUCCGUCUAUUAUAAAAAUAUAAAUUAUUUAACAAUUGAAAGGACUGAUAUGUUUUGUAUUUAUGUAGUUAUAUUUAUCUCUUUUGUUAAAUAUGUAAUAUGUUUUUAUGGGAUUCAGCCACAACUUAUUGUAAUGAAAAUUAAAUUUUUAAAUAUUGGCUGACGUUUCGAUUUCUACUCAAGAAAUCGUUUUCCAAAAAAGGUUAUUUAAAAAAUGUGCGAGAAAUGUAUAACCAAACAAGAUUUUAGCGGAUUGUUUUUGAAAACUCGAUCAAUUUUGACUUAAUCCCAUAUAAACAUAUGUAGUAUUUAACUUACGAUAUACCACAACAAAAUAGCUUCAGAAUCUUUUUAUCAAUUGAUUGUAUUUUACCUACAUUCCAUAAUAGAAAAACGGGAGAUUGUAUUUUUUCUUUAUCUAACAAAAUAAUCAAAUAAUUUUAAAUUCCUCAUCGGUUAUAACAUGCUUAAUUUUCAUUGUAAGUUUGUAACUAAUUGUAAUGCAGUAUGAAAUCCUGUUACCAUCAUUCAAAGGUAAUUAAAAAAUAUAUUUUUUUUUCUCUUCUCAUUUUAUCGUUCUGCUAGUGGCAUAGAAAUAGUAUGCUUUAUCUUAUAAUAACUUAAACGGUCUAUACUACUGGUCAGUUCAUAGUUCGUACUCUGUUCCGGACGGGCUGCUUUGCAGUUGAUCAGAGGUCUAUUCGUUAUAUUUUUACUAGAUUCUAUAAAUAGUUUGGUCUCAGGAUCAUUUUGUUGAUUACCAUCUAGUAAUAAUAAGAAUAGGGGUAUGACUGACCAGUUUAUGACCAUUCCAAGUAAAUCUAAAGAAUCUUUUAUCUUUCUUUCUACAUUUUCCUCUUUUCUUUCACUUAUAUACGUCUAACUUUAUCUUAUAGCAACAGGAGUGAUUUUAAAUUUGCUGGCCAUAGUACUUCAUGUGUACUUCUGAUUUUGCAGUUGAUCAGGCCUUAUACAUGACAUUUUUACUAGAUUCUAUCAAUAGUUUGGUCUUAGGAUCAAUUUGUUGAUCACCAUCUAGUAAUAAUUUGUAUUGGAUAUGGCUGGCGAAUCAUUCCAAAUCAAUCUAAAAAUCUUUUAUCUUUACUUUUAAAGUUUCUUCUUUCUUUCACUCGUUAUCUUAUAGUAACAGGAAUGAUUUUAAAUUUCUGGUCAAUUCAUAGUUCGUACUCUGUUCAGGGCUUUGCAGUUGAUCAGAGGUCUAUUCGUUAUAUUCUUACUAGAUUCUAUAAAUAGUUUGGUCUCAGGAUCAUUUUGUUGAUUACCAUCUAGUAAUAAUAAGAAUGGGGGUAUGACUGAUCAGUUUAAGAUCAUUCAAAGUAAAUAUAAAGAAUCUUUUAUAUUUACUUCUAUAUUUUCUUCUUUCCUUUCACUUACAUAAUAUGUCUACUAGCGGCACACAAACAAAUAAUAUACUUUAUGUUACAGUAACAGGAAUAAUUUUAUAUUGCUGGUCGAUUCCUAGUAUAUUCUUCGUACUUUUGAUCCGGACGGAUUGCUUUGCAGUUGAUCAGGCUUCUACAUGAUAUUUUUUUACUAGAUUCUGUCUAUAAUUUGGUAUCAGGAUCAUUUUCUUGAUUAUGAAGUAGUAACAAUUGAUAAUGGAGUAGGACAGACCACAAUACUAUUCGGUAGGUGUGUUACUGGAAUUAAUUGAAAUGAAUAUAAUAAAACGAACGGUAAAUAUUUAUUUAUUUUCGUAACAAAAGGUAUUUGCGCUUAGGUCUCUCUCGAAAAAGGGCCGAACGAUUUGUGUGUGAUUCGUUCACCCGCUGUGUCGUGACUAAAAAGAAAACCACAACGAUAAUUUGUUGAUGUUUCUUCCCCCUGACCAGAUGACAAUAAAUCAUUUAGGUCUAGCGUAUACUUUGGCAGUUUUAAGAAAACACCCUGGACUGCAUUAGUGAGUUGUUGACAUAAUGGUCUGAUAUGGUAAUUAAUUUAUGAGGACUUCAGUUUGUUAAACUGCCACUCCAAAAACAUAUGGUCAGGGGAUGCAUUCGUUUCGUAAAACCAUGUCUUUCUUAGCGUCUGUUUUGUAUAUUAACGGUGAGUUUAUAUGGCCCAUAUUAUUUCGUUUUGAGAAAAAAUAUUAAAAUUAGCAAAAAUAGUAAUUAAAGCGUAUCGCUAUAAUACCAUUAUUCAAAGUAAAUAAAAAACAGUAUUUUCUCUUCUGUACCUACUUUACUUUAUUCUCUUUUAAGCUUUAUAAUUUAUUAUUUCUGUGGCGACACGCUUCAAUUACUAUUUUGCUAAUUUUAAUUUUUAAUAACUUUUUCAAAAUGAAAUAAUACGUCCCAUUUUAAAAUUCACAAACCAUAUGCAUAAAGGGCCUGUUAAAUUUUAAGAAACCAAAUAUAUCAGUAUUCAGAUAAAAUGCCUUCUCAGCUUUUAAAACACCAGAUGUUGAUGGCCUGUUCAGUUUAUGUAUGGGAAACGCAAAUUCCAUAAUAUAUUACGGGACGAUAAAAGGACAAUAAAUCAGUCUUCAUCUUCUAUAAAAACCACAGAAAUGUAAAACUAGUGCUUUUAGUUCAUCCACAGGCAGUCUGACACAAACCCGCGUCCCGCAAAGAAUAACAAACCCUCUUACGAGAUAUAAGCACGCCUUUUUAACCAAACAUAAAUAAAUAUAUUAUUGUUCGUUGUCUUACACUUAUUUUAAUUUCAUUUAAUUGUUCUCGUAAACCACAACGGAAAAUUUCUUUAUAACAAUGUUAUAUUUUGUCAGUAGAAAGUAACUUAUGAUAUACAUACACUUUUGAAACUAUUUUCUUGUGGUAUCUUAAUGCAAUUUAUUAUUUUUAUUGGGAAUAAACCACAAUUUUACUUUAAAAUAAGUUUACUUGACGUUUCGAUUUUCAUUUCAGAAAUAGUUCUCCAAAUCAAGAACGAUUUCCGAAAUGGAAAUCGAAAUGUCAAAUAAACUUAAUUUUAAAGUAAAAUUGUGGCUUUUUCCCAAUAAAAAUAGCAAAAAUACACUUUAUCACUGGAUUAACUAUCAAAUAAGCAAUUAUUUGAUGGGAUUUAUGAACUAAUGACCAUCAUUUUCCCGCACAGAAACACGCCAGACGUACCACACUGGGAGAGUACUCAACUUAUGGUUUCGGUAAGACUAGUGUACAAAGCUAGCAGUUAUCUAUUGGGUUGAAGUAUAUGUAGUGUUUCUGUAUGUUUCUAACACGAUCAUGGGAAAGACUUGCCCGAAAGGCUAUAAAAAGGUCACCCUUCCAACCAAAACUCAACUUUUCUUACAAUUUUAUAAUGUACUGUAAUCUUAAUAAAGUGUUCUCUAUGAAUUUAUAAAAAUAAACUAUAUAUAACUAAAA